GACAUAUAUAUUAACCAUAUUGUAUAGUUCAGAGGCUGAAGUUAAGAGCGCGUUCUCCAUUCCUUACUAAAUUAUUAUAUAUACUCUUUGAAAUACACAGAUUAGGUAAAUAUAUUAAGAUUGUGUUUGUCACAUCUUUGUCAUGGUUUUAGGUAUAACUUGACACUGUCAGUGCCCUUACUUUAAAUUGUGCCUAUCAUGAACAAAGUACAAACAACUCUCGAUGGUUACCGAAAUAAUAAGUAUUAUAAUAGAAUAUUAGAAUGUUGAAAAUAUAGUAAGUAGUCCCUCUAAUCAGCAUAUAUGGAAUGGUGGGUCUAUGGUCCUUUGAUAAUGGCAGUUAUAAUGUUCUUGCUGGUCGGAACUGUAUUUGAGAGGAGAAUCGAAGCGGCAAUACGGCGAUUUAUGGAAUUCCAACACGAACAACUGAGUCAACGUGAGGCCGCUGUUACUACAGAAUCAGAUGGACUUGCUUCAGACUGUUUUAAACAGAAACCAUCAACUGCCAUGGUUUCUACAAAUUCUGUCCAAUCUCUCAGAAAUCCCACCAAACCCACUCAAUCCUUUACCGCAUCACCCAUUCAUCCAAUUAUUAAAUCUAGUAAAUAUUCCAUGUCAUUAAGAACUUCUUCCCAAAAAAAUCUCCCCUCUGAAAGAAGUGCUACAGUUAUACUAAAUAAAUCUAUGCCUAAAUUACAUGCUUAAAAUGCUUAAUUUGAAUUUAAUGUUAGGUUUUUGAUUUACGAAAUGCAUUAUUUUAAAAUUUGUCAGUGCACCUUAAUAACAAAUUUUAGAUAUGAGAUAUAUUAAAAUACCCGAUAUUAAUGCUGUUUUUUAACUCAUCCUUUUAUUUAUCUAAUUUUCAAUCCUAUUAAUAUCUGAUUGUAGCGAUUUUUAACAUUAAGUAGUUGGUUUCGUUUAAUCUUUUUGUUAUUGACAUACGGUAGACCAAGUUAUGCCAAUAAAGUUACUAGCUUCUGAAUAUUGUCAUACAAUAAUUUGAACACAGUUAUCGUUGUUUUUGUUAAUAUAAAGUUGUGAUGCGAA